GGCUGGUCCGAAGGUAGUGAGUUAUCUCAACUGAUUGUUCACAGUCAGUACAGAUUGAACAACUCCUUGUUCUACUCUUUCCCUGUUUCUCACUACUGCACUUGACUAGUCUUAA
ensembl:misc_RNA Y_RNA Y RNA